ensembl:snRNA U1 U1 spliceosomal RNA
UUAUUUUCGGGGAAAUAUCAUGAUCAUGGAGGUGGUUUUCCCAGAGCAAGCCUCACCUAUUGCAUUCCGGGGGUGCUGACCUUUGUAAUUUCCCAAGUGUGGGAACUCAACUGCAUAACUUGCAGUAGUUGGCAACUGCAUUUUCGCUCUUCCCUG